CAUGACUCUAUUUUUGGGGAAUGUUCCAGAGAGCAAGCAUCCACAGUUUCUGCUGCACCAGAGAACUUAAAUGAAAAGGAAGACCAGACUUGCACUGAGGUGAAGACUGAGAUUGAAACUUGGACUAUUAAAACAAACGCCGGAACAGAAGAUAUCAGACACAGCCCAGCAGAAAAUGCUGAAGGUGAGGCCUCUGCUGAGUCAGAACACCAGACAGCUGGUCCGGAGGUGAUCUAUGAUGAUGUACCCUGUGAUGAUCUGUCUUCCGGAGAAGCUGACUUGAUCUAUGAAGACUUUCAGAAAGAGGAGGGCUUGCAAGGGCUCAAUAAUGGCUCGAGCUCAAGUGAGUUCGAAAGCUAUGACGAUGAGCAGUCCGUUUCUGAGAGGUCUCCAAGUCUCCAAGCCGCAGCAAGGUGCGUGUGUGUGUGUGUGUGUGUGUGUGUGUUAAUUCAAGACUCCCCACGACUGCAAUAAUUACAUCCUGACAGGCAUCUGAUUUAUCUUCCCACACAUUUCCAUAUUCUUCAUAAUGAUAAACUACAAAUGUUCAUAAAAAGAUUUAAACCCUCCAAGGUUGCAGGCUGAUUGACUGGUACGUGGUUCUAUAAUUAAUUUUAGAUGCGGGUUAUACUCUGUGAAGGGUUGCAGUGUGCUUUUCUGCCACUAGAGUGCAGUGUUGGCCAACACUUGCCUAAUCGCUACUAAUGCCAGGCCUAACUGACACAUUUUCCAACUGCUCUGUAUUGCUUCGAAUUUAAAUUCAGUGUGCACGGUGUUAUCUGCCCUUACACGUUCAUGAGGUCACACUGGUAUGGAAAACACUUUGCCCAGGCAGCAGUCCCUCAGAAACCAAUUUCCCAUGGCCAGGCUCACCUUUACUUCCACCGGGCUCCAUAAGAUUCCUUCUGCCAGGCGACUCAUGAUAAGCAAGAAUUAGAUUGGUGAGUCUAAUACCACAGUGAUUUGAGCUCAGUUUAACAGUUAUUCCUCCAGCCUUUUUAGUGAAUGUAUAAUUGGAAAGGAAUGAUUUUCUUUAAAAAAACAAGCCUUUAAUGGGCUUGUUAAGAUUAAAAUGAACUCACAAGAUGAACAAGCAACAGUUGACUUCACUACAGUAUUGAGUUAGUAGGCUUUGGUCUUUUCAACUGCUUCAGAAACCGAUUCAUUAUGAAAAAUAAUUGUAACUGGCAUAUUUAAUGAUUGCAAUGUCUUUUUUUUUUCUGUGGAAAUAGAUUUUAAGUAUUUAUGAGUUUACACUACAGUUCAACAUUUUGGGGACAGUAAGAUAUUUUUGCAAAAAGAAAUUAAUGCUUUUAUUUAGCAAGGAUGCAUUUAAUUAAUCAAAUGUAACAGUGAAGACUUUUACAAAAGGUAUUGUUCUUUUGAAUUUUCUAUUUAGAAUCCUAAAAAAUCGCAACUGUUUUCAACAUGGAUAAGGAAUAUUUUGUGAACUCACAAAUAAUAGAAUGAUUUCGAAAGGAUUCAGUGAUAUCAUAAGGCGUUGAAGGUAGCAUCGAUGCAUCCUUUGAAAACUAAGCAGAUGAGGGCGUAUUAUUCGACAGCAUGUUUCACGAACAUUGGAUGUGGACGAAAUGCCUUCUCACCCCGGUUUAGAGCCUGCGGCUUUGUUUUUAUGAAAAUGCAGAGGUCCUUGUCUGAGAUUUGCGUUAGUGAGGGUGCACAUUCUGUCAAAAACUUAUCUUCUUCUGUCUAUCCCUCCCGGCUUUGACUUAAAAAUUAAGCUAAGUGAUGAUACCCAUAGCUCUCUCCUGAUGUGCAAUGACUGAGAGAACUUUACCCCAGGACCAAACCGAAGCUAACCAUGAAACUGGGGGCAGACGUCAGGUACAACUAUGCACAGAGAAGAAUGGACUUUAG
ensembl:lncRNA